rnacentral:tRNA from 1 species
GUUUCUUUAGUAUGUCAAUAUAUAUUUAAUUGCAAAUUAAAAGAAUUAAGAAAUU